rfam:Chlorocebus sabaeus isolate 1994-021 chromosome 12, whole genome shotgun sequence.
GCCAGUGUGCCAAUGCCUAUCAAAUAUCUACCUGUCAUGUUUGUCAUAGGACAGGUAGAUAUUUGAUAGGCAUUGGCACGUUGGG